rnacentral:tRNA from 1 species
CAGGGCAUGGCCGAGAUAGUAAAGCGGCUCCCUUACACCGAGCACACAUCCAUGCAAGUUGGAUUGCCCUGA